AGAGUUUGAUCAUGGCUCAGGAUGAACGCUGGCGGCGUGCUUAACACAUGCAAGUCGAACGGACCUGUACUGAAACCUAGUGAUUUACAGGUUAGUGGCGGACGGGUGAGUAACGCGUGGAAAACCUGCCGUAUACUGGGGGAUAACACUUAGAAAUAGGUGCUAAUACCGCAUAAGCGCACAGGCCCGCAUGGGACAGUGUGAAAAACUCCGGUGGUAUACGAUGGUUCCGCGUCUGAUUAGCUUGUUGGCGGGGUAACGGCCCACCAAGGCGACGAUCAGUAGCCGGCCUGAGAGGGUGAACGGCCACAUUGGGACUGAGACACGGCCCAGACUCCUACGGGAGGCAGCAGUGGGGAAUAUUGCACAAUGGGGGAAACCCUGAUGCAGCGACGCCGCGUGAGUGAAGAAGUAUCUCGGUACGUAAAGCUCUAUCAGCAGGGAAGAAAAAAAGUCUUUGGCUUUGGACGGUACCUGACUAAGAAGCCCCGGCUAACUACGUGCCAGCAGCCGCGGUAAUACGUAGGGGGCAAGCGUUAUCCGGAUUUACUGGGUGUAAAGGGAGCGUANACGGCAGCGCAAGUCUGGAGUGAAAUGCCGGGGCUCAACCCCGGAACUGCUUUGGAAACUGUGCAGCUAGAGUGCGGGAAAAGCA
rnacentral:rRNA from 1 species